AUUGAACGCUGGCGGCAUGCCUUACACAUGCAAGUCGAACGGCAGCACGGGUGCUUGCACCUGGUGGCGAGUGGCGAACGGGUGAGUAAUACAUCGGAACAUGUCCUGUAGUGGGGGAUAGCCCGGCGAAAGCCGGAUUAAUACCGCAUACGAUCCACGGCUGAAAGCGGGGGACCUUCGGGCCUCGCGCUAUAGGGUUGGCCGAUGUCUGAUUAGCUAGUUGGUGGGGUAAAGGCCUACCAAGGCGACGAUCAGUAGCUGGUCUGAGAGGACGACCAGCCACACUGGGACUGAGACACGGCCCAGACUCCUACGGGAGGCAGCAGUGGGGAAUUUUGGACAAUGGGCGAAAGCCUGAUCCAGCAAUGCCGCGUGUGUGAAGAAGGCCUUCGGGUUGUAAAGCACUUUUGUCCGGAAAGAAAUCCUUGGCUCUAAUACAGUCGGGUGAUGACGGUACCGGAAGAAUAAGCACCGGCUAACUACGUG
rnacentral:rRNA from 1 species